rnacentral:lncRNA from 1 species
AAUGUGCAUCUGUACUAUCCAUAACAAAAAACUAAUCUAGUACGCUGUGUUGAACUUAUAACUUUUUUAGCUGUGAACUUGUUGUAUUUUUACAAUGCCAAAGCUAGCAAAUAGUACAAGAUUCACCCAACAAGGGGCUAAUUACAUAGAGCAGCUGCACUAAUACAACGGUCAGAUCGGUAACUAGUAGCUAGUAGCCGUGGUUACCAACACACAUACACAUAAAUUGAUAACAAGGUAAUGUACAAGUUCAUGUACAAUAACGCUACAAGUUCAAAAAGAAACCUGAGAUAAUCCUCACAUAUUAGUUUUUCUGUAAACAAAGAAAAACCGAUUAGACAUACGGUCAAUGAGUAAUUUUCGUUCAAACUUGGCCACCUAAAUCCAGCAGCAAUUGAGCCAACCCACCUAAAUCCAGCAGCAAUUGAGCCAACCGGGAAGGAGCAACCAUUGAAGUACUUGAGGGAUGAAGAAACAAAAUCAUCUGGAUUCCAUGUGUAAAUCAUGGGAGCUCCUAGGCAUUUGAUCAAACCCAACCAACGCCUAGUACUGUGAGCACCACAUCUGCAGCUGCAGGAACGCCACCAACUAAACGGGCUCUGGUGGUGCUGUUGAACGGCCUAGGUGGCCAAGUUUGAACGAAACCUGCAAGAUGAACCCAAGGGGAGCUCCUUCACCUGCAAGAUGAACAGAAAAUGCACAUUAAGGUGACCUGAAGAACCACCAGAUGUUGAACUGAAUAUACACAAGAUAAGGAGAUGAACGUCCAGGGGGAGGUGGAGAAUAGCUAGCACCUCUCGAGCUACAGCAUAGAACGGCUUAGCGCUAUGUUGUAGAACGGCUUAGCGCAUGUGCACAGUACCAUCAACGUUGAACUUGUUGAGUCCAGAUUUUUGAACCUUCACAAUAGUAAUACAUGUACUGGGUGGUACAUGCUUCUGUUGUUGAGCAGCUGACCUACAGAAACAAAAACACUCCUGGGUGGACACACAAAAUCAUGAUAAAAAUAGUGGCAGCAAGAAGCAAUCAGAAGUGAAUAUGCAGUAGUACUAUAAUGAAAUAUUAGUCAAAAUUGAAGUUUAGAUAACUAUGGCACACACAUCAUACAAUAAUUUUGAACUUACAUAAUCCUGAAACAGGAACUUCAUUUUUUUAAAUUUAGCAAUUCUGAAUGCACUAGCAAUGUAAUUGAAUUUUUUAGACCAUAGUAAUUGAACUUCAAGCACAUUUCUUUAUAAAACAUUUGUUUUUUCCAUUUUGCACAAUAAUUAUGUCCUUGUCAGUACGACUCAUCAGAAUUGUAGACGGCAUCCUUGUCAGUACGAGUCAUCAGUACUAGUGCUCUUUUUCCAAAGAAAAUGUGUUAAAAUAGAAACAUUUUUCCUAUAUGGAUGUUACUUUUAAUGUAAACCUUUCUUACCAUGGAAAUUAAAGUAACAAUAAGC